AUUUAGGACAAUGGGUGAAACCCGGAUCCAGCCAUCCCGCGUGUAUGAUGAUGGCCUUCGGGUUGUAAAAUACUUUUGGCUGAGAAGAAAAGGUACCUCCUAAUACAACGUACUGCUGACGGCCGCUGCUGAAUAAGACCUGGCUAACUACGUGCAUGCAGCCGCGGUAAUACGUAGGGUGCAACCGUUAAUCGGAAUUACUGGGCGUAAAACGUGUUUCGGCGGUUCGGAAAGAAAGAUGUGAACUCGCGAGGCUCAACCUUGGAACUGCAUUUUUAACUGCAGAGCUAGAGUAUGUCAGAAGGGGGUAGAAUUCCACGUGUAGCAGUGAAAUGCGUAGAUAUGUGGAGGAAUACCGAUGGCGAAGGCAGCCCCCUGGGAUAAUACUGACGCUCAGACACGAAAGCGUGGGGAGCAAA
rnacentral:rRNA from 1 species